AUGGUUAUAAUAGGAGGAGAAGCUGAUGGCAAUGAAGGAGAUGGUUCUGGAAGUCAGUCCCUUCGCCGGAGGACAAAGCGUGCUGCUAAUCGCCAGCCACGCCCAAAACGUAGUGUUGAGCAGGGAGAGGAAGUUGAGGAUGUUGAUCGGUUUCGGGUUGUAAAGCGGACUAAACGUGCAGCAGCAGUAGGGCGAGCUGAAUCAUCUACUAGGGCAGCAGUUGGUGGAGGAGCUGCCUCAUCUUCCGCAGCAGAUGCUGAGGCAAGCGUUGAAGGAGUUGAGAUGGCCGCCCGGGAAGAUGUGGAGCGACCAUCACAAGCUGUCAGGUUAAGGGCAUCACCAGGGCGGUUUGCGAAGUUCAACAACUCGUUAUCCCCGCCACAGAAGUCAGAGCUAAUUUCAAGGUUGUUUGGGGGCCUCUUGAACUCAUCAGAUACACUUCCAGGGGACUUCAGUAAAUUCCUGGUGCAGUCCUACCAGCCAGAGACAUCUGAAAUGGUGUUCCCAGGCAGGGGAAGUAUCCGUGUCGACGCUGACAGUGUUUAA
rnacentral:rRNA from 1 species